rnacentral:rRNA from 1 species
UACGUAGGGGGCGAGCGUUGUCCGAAGUUACUGGGCGUAAAGCGCGCGUAGGCGGCCACUUAAGUCUGGGGUGAAAGGUUCAGCGCUCAACGCGAACAGUGCCUUGGAUACUGGGUGGCUUGAGUCUGGGAGAGGGUAGUGGAAUUCCUGGUGUAGCGGUGAAAUGCGCAGAUAUCAGGAAGAACACCCGUGGCGAAGGCGGCUCUCUGGGACGGUACUGACGCUGAGACGCGAAAGCGUGGGGAGCGAACAGG